rnacentral:lncRNA from 15 species
AUGAGUGGAUUUGGCGGAGCGGCGUGGAUAAAAUUCGCGGGGAACGUCAGGACGGGUGUAGGCACGACCGGAGAUAAGAGAAAAAAACGGAGGUGCCACUCUGACGGGUUUUCCGAACACAGGGAGGAGAGAGAGGAACUGCAACGAGUGCGCCAUCAGCUGGUUGCGCGCAAAAGAGCGCCUUCAUUUCUUUACAGGGAGGUCUUUAUGAGGUCGUGUCAGACUCUGCAGACAUCAGCUGCCAGUACGCUGGUUUCUGUUUUCUCCCGGAGAGUGAUCCACUGUUCUGCACACAGUCGAGCCUCCUCCGCCUUCUUCCCAUUGGUCGGUUGGAUGAGCCUCUGCACGGGGGGAUCCUCCCAGCUGUGAGCGGCCAGAGAACCCAGUCAGAACCCGGAGAGAACACCGUGUUCCUCCUCACACACCAGCCUGCAGCCGCGGCACACACUAACAUUUAAUGCAAACUGUACGUCUCUGUGAGCUACUGCGAGGAUUCUCCCUUACCGCUGUGGUCCAGGUGUGUACGGGGCUCUAGAUGGGGAUGAAUAAAAGGAACUGGACGCCGGGUUGAGCGUUAAAAGCAUCGUUACCUUUCCACCUAAAAUAAAACCUGAUGGUAUUCUGCUUUAACUCUGAUUAUGGUCACCAGUUGAGGAAAGAACUAACAAGUGUGCCUCUAUUAUUUAUUCUUUCAAAAAACAAAAAAACACACACACACACACACACACACACACACACACACACACACCAGGGACUGUGUUGGGAGUCUGGCAAGAAAAUAAAACACACACACACACACACACACUCACACACACACUCACACUCACACGCACACGCACACGCGCACACACGCACACACACACACUGCAGUGCACAGUGUAGAAAACCAGAGCAUGAUUCACAGGAAGCUUUACACAACUUUAUUGAAGAUUGUGUAUAAAUACACAUGCACAUUUCAAAUGUAAACCCAAGUGAACUCAAGUGCAGCCAAACCUGGAAACCCCCAUUAUGUCGUCAUGCAAGGAUGUCUGGAUUAUUUUUACAAAAAAAGUCCCAAAACAACAGAACCAUCCUUUUUUUAAAAAAUAUUCCCUCCCUGACAAGAGCACAGGCAAGACUUUGCAAACUAGUGUGUAUGUGUGGACUCGAGCCACGCCACGCCACGCCCCGCCCACCCCUUCCCCUUCCUCUCCCUCCCUCCCUCCCUCCCUCAUCUCAGGUCUUGCCAAGGUUUUAAAUAUAUUGUCUGUUUAUUAUUAAAUGCUUACAUAUAAAUAAAUAAACUUUAUCAAAUGUGCACUCACAGAGUGAACUCUUAUUUACAGUAUUGUAUAAGCCUAUAGUAGCAAUCACAUCUCACUCAGUCAGGAUGGGGUGAGUCGCCCAAAAAGCAAGGCAGCGCUGAGCCAAAAAAAGCCCACUGAAGUCAAAGCACAGAGAUGCUCAUAAAGGCAUGGUACACGUCUAAUAUUCUGAGGCGACAACAGGUACGGUAAUGCUGUUUACAAUGGAAAGAACAGGUAGAAAA